AUUGAACGCUGGCGGCAUGCUUUACACAUGCAAGUCGAACGGCAGCGCGGGCUUCGGCCUGGCGGCGAGUGGCGAACGGGUGAGUAAUGCAUCGGAACGUGCCCAGUAGUGGGGGAUAGCCCGGCGAAAGCCGGAUUAAUACCGCAUACGACCUGAGGGUGAAAGCGGGGGACCGAAAGGCCUCGCGCUAUUGGAGCGGCCGAUGUCGGAUUAGCUAGUUGGUGGGGGAAAGGCUUACCAAGGCGACGAUCCGUAGCUGGUCUGAGAGGACGACCAGCCACACUGGGACUGAGGCACGGCCCCGACUCCUAAGGGGGGCAGCAGUGGGGAAUUUUGGACAAUGGGGGCAAACCUGAUCCAGCCCUGCCGGCGGCGGGAAGAAGGCCUUCGGGUUUGUAAACGCUUUUGUUCGGGAAGAAAACCUCUGGGCUAAUACCCCGGGGGGAUGACGGUACCGGAAGAAUAAGCACCGGCUAACUACGUG
rnacentral:rRNA from 1 species